rnacentral:lncRNA from 1 species
UAUCAUUUAGUAGAGGCUUCACAGAUUAUGUCAGAUGUCAAACAAUUGAUUUUGUUUUCCAGAAUAUGGGUUUAUAACUUUCAGUUUAAUACAUUUCUGUAGUCUUAAUGUAUUGUGAUGAAAACUUCCAUCCUUUAAGGGAUCGUGUUUAAGUUCAUAUUGUUUUCCACUUUGUUCAAUUAUUAUAGUUUCAUGCUCAUAUGAUAUGCCAGAACGUUCGCUCGUACUAGCAAUAGUGUUGGGUGUGUGCCACGUCCAGGGUCUUGGCUCGGGGCGUGACACAAAUAAAU